rnacentral:rRNA from 1 species
UACGAAGGGGGCAAGCGUUGUUCGGAAUUACUGGGCGUAAAGCGCGUGUAGGCGGUUGUCCAAGUUGGAUGUGAAAGCCUUGAGCUCAACUCAAGAAAUGCAUUCAGGACUGGAUGACUAGAGGACCGGAGAGGAUAGUGGAAUUCCCAGUGUAGUGGUGAAAUACGUAGAGAUUGGGAAGAACACCAGUGGCGAAGGCGGCUAUCUGGACGGUUUCUGACGCUAAGACGCGAAAGCGUGGGGAGCAAACAGG